GUACUCGAGCGGCGAACGGGUGAGUAACACGUGAGUAACCUGCCCCCGACUCUGGGAUAAGCCCGGGAAACUGGGUCUAAUACCGGAUACGACCACUUCCCGCAUGGGAUGGUGGUGGAAAGUUUUUCGGUUGGGGAUGGACUCGCGGCCUAUCAGCUUGUUGGUGGGGUAACGGCCUACCAAGGCGACGACGGGUAGCCGGCCUGAGAGGGCGACCGGCCACACUGGGACUGAAACACGGCCCAAACUCCUACGGGAGGCAGCAGUGGGGAAUAUUGCGCAAUGGGCGAAAGCCUGACGCAGCGACCCCCCGUGGGGGAUGACGGCCUUCGGGUUGUAAACCUCUUUCAGCAGGGACGAAGUUGACGUGUACCUGCAGAAAAAGCGCCGGCUAACUACGUGCCAACAGCCGCGGUAAUACAUAGGGCGCAAGCGUUGUCCGGAAUUAUUGGGCGUA
rnacentral:rRNA from 1 species